rnacentral:rRNA from 1 species
GAUGAACGCUGGCGGCGUGCCUAAUACAUGCAAGUCGAGCGAACGGACGAGAAGCUUGCUUCUCUGAUGUUAGCGGCGGACGGGUGAGUAACACGUGGAUAACCUACCUAUAAGACUGGGAUAACUUCGGGAAACCGGAGCUAAUACCGGAUAAUAUUUUGAACCGCAUGGUUCAAAAGUGAAAGACGGUCUUGCUGUCACUUAUAGAUGGAUCCGCGCUGCAUUAGCUAGUUGGUAAGGUAACGGCUUACCAAGGCAACGAUGCAUAGCCGACCUGAGAGGGUGAUCAGCCACACUGGAACUGAGACACGGUCCAGACUCCUACGGGAGGCAGCAGUAGGGAAUCUUCCGCAAAGGGCGAAAGCCUGACGGAGCAACGCCGCGUGAGUGAUGAAGGUCUUCGGAUCGUAAAACUCUGUUAUUAGGGAAGAACAUAUGUGUAAGUAACUGUGCACAUCUUGACGGUACCUAAUCAGAAAGCCACGGCUAACUACGUG